GUGUAGGUCAUUGUAUGCCAUAUGAGUUGGUUGUCCUCAUAACUAAAGAGUGUGGGGAUACUGUUAUAGCAUGCAGAUGGAAUGUGGGAGUACAUUCGCAUCGAACGUGACCAUGUGCCGAGCACUCUGCUGUCAAGAGUAGCUUGUGAAGGGUAUGGAUAUAAAUAUUCCUCUGACCUGAUACCACCAUGGUGACUUGUAAGCAACUCCUAUACUUUAAUGAUGGACUAUUUGAGUUUCUAACUUAGUGAUGGAAGGAUAAUAGG
rnacentral:lncRNA from 1 species